GACGAACGCUGGCGGCGUGCUUAACACAUGCAAGUCGAACGAUGAAGUUCCUUCGGGAAUGGAUUAGUGGCGAACGGGUGAGAAACACGUGAGAAACCUGCCUUUCAUUUUGGGAUAACUCCGGGAAACCGGAGCUAACACCGAAUACUCCGUCUCGGCGGCAUCGCUGAGCCGGGAAAAAAUUAUGAUGAAAGAUGGUCUCGCGGCCUAUCAGCUAGUUGGUGAGGUAAUGGCUCACCAAGGCGACGACGGGUAGCCGGCCUGAGAGGGCGACCGGCCACACUGGGACUGAGACACGGCCCAGACUCCUACGGGAGGCAGCAGUGGAGAAUAUUGGGCAAUGGGCGCAAGCCUGACCCAGCGACGCCGCGUGAGGGAUGAAGGCCUUCGGGUUGUAAACCUCUUUCAGUAGGGAAGAAGCGAAAGUGACGGUACCUAAAGAAGAAGCACCGGCUAACUAUGUGCCAGCCGCCGCGGUAA
rnacentral:rRNA from 1 species